GGGGAUGUGGUCUAAUGGCAAGAUACCGCUGCAUGUUCUUCCCUGGGGAGUUUACUCCCUGGGUUUCCAGUCCAGUAAACCAAGGUUUAGGGGUCUCGACGAAAGUCUGCGGUGAUACUGGUUCGAGUCCGGUCGUCUCCA